UACGGAGGGUGCAAGCGUUAAUCGGAAUUACUGGGCGUAAAGCGUACGCAGGCGGUUUGUCAAGUCGGAUGUGAAAUCCCCGGGCUUAACCUGGGAACUGCAUUUGAAACUGGCAGACUAGAGUCUUGCAGAGGGGGGUAGAAUUCCAGGUGUAGCGGUGAAAUGCGUAGAGAUGUGGAGGAAUACCAGUGGCGAAGGCGGCCCCCUGGACAAAGACUGACGCUCAGGUGCGAAAGCGUGGGGAGCAAACAGG
rnacentral:rRNA from 1 species